ensembl:lncRNA
GCCGGGACGUGGCAGGGCCUUGGGGCUGCUGACAGCUCUGCCGGCCCUCAGUUUCUUCUGCAGGCCUCUGCAGGGUGGUGACCGGACACGUGGCCAAGGGGACUAAUGUGUUCUCCAAAGCCCCUAUGACCCUGACCCGGAAGCCCCCCCUGGCGCCUAGGGCGAGGGUCACACCCGGGCCCAUCUCUCAGGGCCCCUCCCCGUGAGGGCCUCAACCCUGGGAUUAGGGGGCCGGGGUCAGGGGUCAACAGCAUUUGCCUCGGCUCCUUUCAGGCCUCCAGCAGAUCCGUUCUCCCUGCCACCUCAAAUUUCCUGGACAAAGGCUCCGUGGUGGGACCGGGCGGAGGGCCGGGCCAAGCACCCCUGGGAAAACUGCAGCAGCUCAGGGAAGGUGUCUGCCCCCGCCCCCGGCUUCUGCCCACACGGCCCCAUCAAUCCUUAGAUUACCCGCGGGCAGCCAUGGCGGACACACCCAUGCUACAGAUGGAGAAACUGAGGCUGGGGAGGGGCUCAGCCAGGGCUCCAGGCCAGAAGCUGCUCUGCCAAAGGCCCAGUGGAAUUUUGUGCCGGCCACAGCUGAGCACCAGGCUGGAGGCUGUGCUGUGCAGUGCUGGAGGCGGUGUCUGUGAAGGCAGGCAGGCAGGGCUGGCGGCGGACAAAGGCAGGCAGGCCUGGCCCGCAGGGGCGCGUUCCGCUCGUCAGCGUCGGUUCCACUUGAGUCCAUCCUGGACAGGCCGGAAUAAUCCCUCCCGCGACCACUGCUGGGCCGUGACGACUUGAAGGGGCCCCGCGGGCCUGACUGACGGCCAGGCCGAUGGGGGGGGCACCUGGGGCCCCCCCCACACCCCCUAGUGCUGGGAACAGCCUCAAGCCUUCGUUGAUGACAACUUGGGGAAACUGAGUCACGGGAGCACACACGACCUCUUAUAUCACACAUCGAGGGCUGGCAGCCCAUCGAGGCCCAGACCCCAGGCCAGCCUCACCAAGGCCUCCCCAUCCCCGCUGGCUACACAGCCUCGCCAGUGACCUGGGGGAAUUUUGGGGCCUGAACCAGCUGAGUCAUGGGAACUACGGGCCUCCUGUUCAUUUCCCAGCACCUGGGAGGCAGGUACACACAGGUGGCUGGACCAAAGCCAGGCCAGGGGCCCAGGGAAGGCCCCACUGGCUGCUGCCAAGGCUGGUAGACACGGCUAGCUGCCAUGUGCUCAGGCCGCUCGGCGGGGCGCGCCUCCUCCUCCUCCGCUCGCACCUGGGUGCCUGGAAGGGAUUCCGUAGGAAGGGAUCAAUGACCUCAGGAGGAGAGGAGGAAGCAGCUGGGCCAAGAAUAAUUAGCAGACUCAUGGAGCAUGAAGAAGGAGAGACGAGAUUCUUGUCUGCUGGGCUCCUCCCACGCCAACCUCAGCCCUUCCUGGGCUCCAGCCUUCACUGCCUCCACCUGCGGCAACUUCUUCAUGGAUUCAUCCUUCGUCCAGUGGACAUUUAUCUCCCACCAGAUCCCAAGCUGCCCAGGUGGCGCUAGUGGCCUUCCCUGAGGAACCAGCGCCAGAGAAGGAGGCCAGCACCGCCAGCCUUGCUGGUAAGCAGAAGCACUCAAGUUGGAGUCCAUGCACCAAACACAUUCACUUAAGGAGGACUCCCAACGCCGGUCCUGCCGCCGCGCCCCGCCCGCUCAGGCGCCCUAGCAGAGCCGCUGCGGAGGGUUCUGCCCAUAAUAAAGACUCCGGACCCGCCUGAGCCGCUGGCUGCCUCCCUCCUUAUCCACCCCUCGCUGACGGCCAGGUCCCAGCUGUGGAGCCCCCUCCUCCGGCCUCGGCGUCUCAUCUGUAAAAUGGGUCUCAGCUGGGUCUCUUCUACUAGUAGGGAGGUCAACUGAGGCCCAGCGGGGAGUGGGGGGGUCCCAGUGGAGAGAGAGGCUGAAUGGGGGGCUGGGACCCAGGCCUUGCACCACUUCGCACACCUGGGUAAACUGAGUCCUGGGGAAGCCGACUACUCGACCAUGCCUGCCCGUCCUCCCCCACCCCUAACACCGGAGCUCACGCCCCCGCUUCGUAAACACGGAAACUGAGGCCCAGAGUGGGGUCUUCGAGGAAGAAGUGACGUCCUUUCGCAAGCGAAGGCGAGCAGGGGACCGUGGCGCGGGUGGGAUGGGGGACCCGCCUGGGCGGCGGCGCGCAGUGGGCGGGGCCUCACUGGAGGGGUGGGGCCCUGUCCUAAGUGUUGGGGAGCCACGCAGGAAUUGGAGCAGAGGAAGGGGUGCGGGAGCCGGGACCUUGGGUUCUGCGGCGUGGGGUGGGGUGCCCGGAUGCCACUCCUAUCUUAGGGUCAAGGCCUUUUCCCGUGGGGGCGCCCCCAGCCUCAGUCCCCACUGCCGUCCCCCUCGCCCGCCCGCGGAUCCCAGGGGCUGCAGGAGGCUUUUCAGCACUUAGAGCCGCAAACUUUGUGAGGCGAGCUGCUGGCUCUCCAGCCCCCACUUCAACCCGCCCUAGGGUCCCCGGGGCCCAGCACCGCCUCUUGCCUCUUCUUCCUCGCGUCGGAGGAAGUUGGGACAACGUGGGGUUGGGACAACGCCCGGAGGCUGCCUCAGUACCCCCACCACUCUACCGCCGCCUCAACAGGUCAGUGAGGACCCCUGAAUCAGGGAAGCCGCGGAGGAGGGAGGCCCGGUGGACCAGAAACUCUGGGAGUGCCAUAGACAGUAGCCUCCCCACUCCCUCUGCCUCUCUGCGCACCGUCUGUGCACAGAGGGGCUGGAACUGGUCGAGUCACCCAGAUCCAACUCCUGGCCCCAGGGAGGCCUGGGGCUCACCCUGGAUCCACCUUUAUUGACCUGUGGAGCCUCAGUUUCCCCCUCUACACAGGAGAGGGGUCUCCUCCACCACUCGUCCAUCCCCUUCCCCAAGGACUGCAUCAUCCAUUAGGGCCCAUAGAUCACCUCUGGGCCUCAGUCUCUGUUUCGGGAUCAAUGGGGCAAGUCAGGGGCUGUCGGGCGGGCAGCCCUCUGGGAGAGUCUCUCUCUGGCCUCAGAGGGAGGGGUCUGGCCCCCAACCUCCCUGCCUCCACAACGAGGUUCCCAGCUGGCUCCCCAGAGCGAGGAGAGGAUGGCUGGGGUACAGUUCUCCUGCAGCAGGCGAUAGUGCAGGGAGGAGACAGGGAGGGUCAAUGGCCUCCUGAACACCUCCCUGGAGGGAAGCUGAGGCCUCAGGC